CCUGAAAGAUUAUAGGAGGUCCAGCCUGCCCAGUGAUAAAAUUAAACGGCCGCGGUACCCUAACCGUGCGAAGGUAGCGCAAUCACUUGUUCUUUAAAUGAGGACUAGUAUGAACGGCAUCACGAGGAUUAUACUGUCUCCCUUCUUUAAUCAGUGAAACUGAUCCCCCCGUGAAGAAGCGGGAAUAAACAUAUAAGACGAGAAGACCCUAUGGAGCUUUAAACUUAACACCACUUAUCUAAAACACUUCAUAAUAAACAGAUAAGCUUGUGCGCAUUUUAGGUUGGGGUGACCGCGGAGUAAAAUUUAACCUCCACGUUGAAAGGCCUUUAUCCUUAUCCAAGAGCCACAUCUCCAAGAAUCAACAAAUUGACAUUUAUUGACCCAAAUUUUUUGAUCAACGAAC
rnacentral:rRNA from 1 species